rnacentral:sRNA from 1 species
GCCUGCCGGCCCUGGCCGGUUCAGGCCCACGCGGCAGGUGGCGGCCGGGCCCUGAGGCGCGGGGUCCGCAGUGCGGGCUCGGGCGGCCGGGCCCAGGGAACCCCGCAGGCGGGGGCGGCCAGUUUCCCGGGUUCGGCUUUACGUCACGCGAGGGCGGCAGGGAGGACGGAAUGGCGGGGUUUGGGAUUAGUGAUGAUGAACCAGGUUAUGACCUUGAUUUAUUUUGCAUACCUAAUCAUUAUGCUGAGGAUUUGGAAAGGGUGUUUAUUCCUCAUGGACUAAUUAUGGACAGGACUGAACGUCUUGCUCGAGAUGUGAUGAAGGAGAUGGGAGGCCAUCACAUUGUAGCCCUCUGUGUCCUCAAGGGGGGCUAUAAAUUCUUUGCUGACCUGCUGGAUUACAUCAAAGCACUGAAUAGAAAUAGUGAUAGAUCCAUUCCUAUGACUGUAGAUUUUAUCAGACUGAAGAGCUAUUGUAAUGACCAGUCAACAGGGGACAUAAAAGUAAUUGGUGGAGAUGAUCUCUCAACUUUAACUGGAAAGAAUGUCUUGAUUGUGGAAGAUAUAAUUGACACUGGCAAAACAAUGCAGACUUUGCUUUCCUUGGUCAGGCAGUAUAAUCCAAAGAUGGUCAAGGUCGCAAGCUUGCUGGUGAAAAGGACCCCACGAAGUGUUGGAUAUAAACCAGACUUUGUUGGAUUUGAAAUUCCAGACAAGUUUGUUGU